GGGGUUAUAGCUCAGUUGGCUAGAGCGCUUGCAUGGCAUGCAAGAGGCCGAGGGUUCAAGUCCCUCUAACUCCACCA
rnacentral:tRNA from 1 species